GGUGUUGAAUUAUUCCUGGAAAUGUCAGCAGGGGAUUCUUGAGACUCACAUAAACGGCUUGUGAUCUCAUCCUUCACAUUCGUAGUUCCAGAGCCAGAGGGUGUUGAAUCAUUCCUGGAAAUGUCAGCGGGGGAUUCUUGAGACUCACAUAAACAGCUUGUGAUCUCAUCCUUCACAUUCGUAGUUCUAGAGCCAGAGGGUGUUGAAUUAUUCCUGGAAAUGUCAGCGGGGGAUUC
rnacentral:sRNA from 1 species